UUAACUCAAAUUUAUAUGGAGUUGGAACCUUAGCCUACAUUCGCCGCUAGGGGCGCUGUCCCAACUGCAUACAAAUUUGAGUGA
rfam:Bombyx mori DNA, contig: Bm_scaf85_contig33656, strain: p50T/Dazao, build 2, whole genome shotgun sequence.